CACCCAUGUUUACUACUACUUGUUUCCUCUUUCCACCUGAGGCUUCGAGUAUUUUGCGAUGCAUGGAAAAUCAUUUUUUAACACAAUGACCAGGUUUCUUUUCAUUUUAUUCAAUAAAUGAAAAGGUACAGAGUCAUUUGACAAUU
rnacentral:snoRNA from 1 species